rnacentral:rRNA from 1 species
CCUACGGGUGGCAGCAGUGGGGAAUAUUGGACAAUGGGCGAAAGCCUGAUCCAGCCAUGCCGCGUGUGUGAAGAAGGCCUUCGGGUUGUAAAGCACUUUCAGUGGGGAAGAAAGCCUUGGGGCUAAUACCCUCGAGGAAGGACAUCACCCACAGAAGAAGCACCGGCUAACUCCGUGCCAGCAGCCGCGGUAAUACGGAGGGUGCGAGCGUUAAUCGGAAUUACUGGGCGUAAAGCGCGCGUAGGCGGUCUGAUAAGCCGGUUGUGAAAGCCCCGGGCUCAACCUGGGAACGGCAUCCGGACCUGUCAGGCUAGAGUGCAGGAGAGGAAGGUAGAAUUCCCGGUGUAGCGGUGAAAUGCGUAGAGAUCGGGAGGAAUACCAGUGGCGAAGGCGGCCUUCUGGACUGACACUGACGCUGAGGUGCGAAAGCGUGGGUAGCAAACAGGAUUAGAUACCCCUGUAGUC